rnacentral:rRNA from 1 species
UACGUAGGCAGCAAGCGUUGUUCGGAGUUACUGGGCGUAAAGAGUGCGUAGGUGGUGCCCUAAGUCUGUUGUGAAAUCUCCCGGCUUAACUGGGAGGGUGCGGUGGAAACUGGGGUGCUUGAGUGUGGGAGGGGUAAGCGGAAUUCCUGGUGUAGCGGUGAAAUGCGUAGAUAUCAGGAGGAACACCGGUGGUGUAGACGGCUUACUGGACCACGACUGACACUGAGGCACGAAAGCGUGGGUAGCAAACAGG